rnacentral:tRNA from 1 species
GCCUCCGUAGCUCAGAGGAAGAGCACCCGUCUCGUACACGGGCGGUGUCGGUUCGACUCCGACCGGAGGCU